UCCUGGCCGGGAUCAGGAGAAGCAGCCACUUGAUCUGCAGACUUAGCCAGAUAAAACCCACAGGGCAAAUGGGUACCCGCCUCUCCCCCACUGUGAUGUGGGCAACGUUUUCCACAGUGAAGAGAGAAAACAAAUGUAUGUAUGCUGCAUUACAAAUGAGCUUCUCCGGCAUCUGACCAACGCUCACAAUGGCCACUGGCCGUCUCAUGCCCAAAAGGACAGUGUUUAUUUCCACCAGGAGAUGGCGCAUGACUUUUUUUUUUUUUUUUUUUUAAAUCCCCAGGAAGGUCUCAGUGCUGCCAGAAACUACAUGACCAUUCCGCUGCUAAACUGACGGAUCAAACAGGUAUUUUCAGUGGUCAUGCUAGGAAAUACUUUUCUAAGGAUUUUACCUGGGUCCUUCUACAGCCAGUGGUCAGAGAACAGAAUGAGCAUACUGCAACCACGCACAGUGAACUGACUGGCACACCCACAAAAAUCUCAUCUCUGGGGUGCCCCUAGUACCUAGUGGAUUGCCUUGCACGCUGCAGGUGCUCAGUGUUUGGUAAAGACCCGACCCUGGAUAAGUCACUUGACCUCAAUUAGUCUGUUUCCCAAAUCUGAAAAAAAGAGGAGGGAGAUGGACAAGGUGAUGGAAGGGCCUCUGACAACAAGACAAAUAGCUUAUAAGUAUCACAUCGCUCUUUCCUUUCUCUCUCCCCCCGCAAAAUGAAAUGUGGUGGUCCUGUUAGUAAUUUAGUUAGAAUCAGUGGGAAAUUUUUUAAAUGCAAGCCCAAAUUUGGAUAAAAUGUUCUGUUUUUAUUUAGUCUGGAGGCCACUAACUGCUGAGUCCCAGAUUGUCCAUCCACAAAGAUUUCAUCGAAAAUUAAAGAGAAAAUGAA